AUCUUUUCAAUUGUUGUUUUCGAACUUUUUAAGAACUCUCUCUAGCUUCUACAUCUUUAUCCUUUUUCGAUUUCAAUCUUUCGAUUUUGCAUUAUAUUGGGUCAACCACACCUAACAAAGAAUUGGGUCUUGUCAUUAUGGUUUGUUCAGUUUAUAAUGAUUGAUCCGACUAUAAAAUCUCGUCUCUUCCUAAUUCUCCUUUUCAGGUAUUGGCCAAGGAGAUUAGAAAUGAUGUUAAUGUAUAAAAAGGGUCUUAUCAAGAUGGAAAUUGAUGAAAAGAAUCGGGAUUCUCAUUCGGUUUCUUUCACCUUUGAUGCCUUGGUUGAUAGCAGAUCCCAGGAGCAGAAUCACUUGUAGUCAGACCUGUCUUCUGCCGAUAAAAAGUUGGAAGUGAAGCAGCAUAUUUUGGAAAUAUUUCAAGAAGACAGUUAUCCUUCAGCAUUUCCUAACACAUCCAAGGUAGUUCUGUUGUUUCAUGAGAUUGAGGGCGUAGACUGUGCCUUUUUUGGCAUGUAUGUUCAGGAGUUGGAUUCUCUCCUGAUCAGGUGCUUGGCUAUGGUUAGGAGAGCUUCGAAGGAGAACAUUGUGGCUGAGCUCACUGACGUGUAUGACAUUUCUUUAUCUCUACUGGAGAAUGCAAGACAAAGGUUGGACGGUGAUUACUUGCCUGGUGCCGCCGAAGAUACGAUCAAUCAAUUCCGACAAGAAGAGGACGGGAGAAAACUACAAAAGAUAGGGAACACGAAAAAAAACUUAUCACAAACUGAUCUUUCUACAAAUGCUUCAAAAGCUGUCCUUUUAAUGCAAAAAGUAAUUUAUUCCCCAAGUGCUGCCACAGCUUGGUGAGACCAUAAGCCCAUUUAAAGAAGAUCUUAUAAUGGUACACCUGCAACAUUCUUGCAAUCGUUGUUCUUAUCUAACAGUAUCUGGAAACCAUUGGGUUUGCAAAAUUGCAUCAAUUGCAAAAAAAAAAAUGUCAUCUUUGCAACUAAUGUUUUGACUAUGGCCUUCCUGUACUUUCCAAAUGGUUUCCAAUAUGUUCUUCAUGCAAACCUUGUUAUCAUGGGGUAUAGUAGGGGCAAUGUUCGGUGCAGCGUUUGGGUGUUGGAAAAAUGAGUCUUCAGGAAAAAAAGGAUUUAGUUUUGAUGGCUGUGUUGUGAGUCUUGUGAUGUUCCUUGCUAUAAUACUCGUAGCUUUUUCUUCACUGCCUUCCCUCAUAGUUAGUGGAACUAUGAUUGUGGGAUUUGGAGUUGGAAUGAUUUCCAUGACUUCAUCUCUAAAGAUAUUAGAGGCUUCUUCUCUCAGACUCCGAAGUUCCUUUGCUAAUUUAGUAGUUUGCAAGCGUUGUUUUACCGUGUCAAUCUACUUUUUUCCAAGGAACAAAGUACUUGGAGUUGCAUGACCGGAGUAGCAGGGGAUUCCAGCUCUAGUUCAGUUUAUGCUAAUGUGGUUCCUUCCUAAGUCCCCGAUGUGGAUCUACAGAAAGAUAGUGGCAGCUGUAGACAGCUCUUUUAAACAAUAAACCUAAGCUAUAUCGUGAUUUUCUUUGAAAAUCGUAAUUAAUGCGGCAGUGCACUCUAUUUUUUGUGAUGUAUUAUUUUUCUAUAAUUUGAUACAAAUUUUCUGGAGAUUAGUGGCCUCGUGCAAAGAAUCAUGCAAAUUGUUGAUGUACCUUGGAUUCAGGACCCUCAGGGUGGAGAUAAUACUGGUUACCUUUUAGGUGCAUUAAAAGAGACUGAGGGUACUGCAAACAUUCCAGGAAGAGAGCCAGAACAAUUUUAAACGGGAAGCAGGUCGCAUUCUUGGUCUUGUGCAUCUGAAGGUUCUGAGCGAUUUCAUCAUCAACUUCCCAUGCUCCUACAUGGAAAUGGACGUUGAGUCGAGUGUUUGUAGCUUCAACCGUCGUAUCCAGGAAAUUAAGGAACUUUUACCACGAGAAAAUCAAGACAAUGAUGACACUGACAUAUGAAAUAAGCACAUCAACCAUUGGAGAAGCUCUAGUGGUGAAGAAUGUGGAAGGCUCUCACCAUAUUGACCCAUAUGUUGACUGUUCUGGGUGACUUACACGUGUCCAUGAGUUCUAGAAACAGCUUAAGUGAUCAAAAUGUUUGCUUUGUCACGGAUCUUCAUGGUAGGAAUGCUUUGGUUACCUGUCCUGAAGAUGAAGAGCGUGUCGUUAACCUGCAUAAGACGAAGGUGAACAGUACUUACUCUGCAUAUUGACGGUUCUGUCACUUGUUGUGUGUUGUCAAGGUCAAUUCAAUCAUGCUCUGACCAGUCAAACAUCCCAUUUUGAAUUAGCAUUUUUUUUAUUGAGAUCAAAAGGGCAAAUUCAAUUAAAAUUUAUACUCUUCAAAGCGAUGAGUGAGAAAGAAAUACAGAAAAAAAAGAAAAAAAAAAUCAGAUGUGACCAGUUACAGA